rnacentral:rRNA from 1 species
CUACGGGCGGCUCCAGUGAGGAAUAUUGCACAAUGGGGGGAACCCUGAUGCAGCAACGCCGCGUGGAGGAUGACGCAUUUCGGUGUGUAAACUCCUUUUAUAUGUCAAGAAAAUGACGGUAGCAUAUGAAUAAGCACCGGCUAACUCCGUGCCAGCAGCCGCGGUAAUACGGAGGGUGCAAUCGUUACUCGGAAUCACUGGGCGUAAAGGACGCGUAGGCGGGUUGGAAAGUCAGGUGUGAAAUCCUACAGCUUAGCUGUAGAACUGCACUUGAAACUUCUAAUCUAGAGUAUGGGAGGGGGAGAUGGAAUUAGUGGUGUAGGGGUAAAAUCCGUAGAUAUCACUAGGAAUACCUAAAGCGAAGGCGAUCUCCUGGAACAUUACUGACGCUAAGGCGUGAAAGCGUGGGGAGCAAACAGGAUUAGAUACCCCGGUAGUC